rnacentral:rRNA from 1 species
UACAGAGGGGGCAAGCGUUGUUCGGAAUUACUGGGCGUAAAGGGCGCGUAGGCGGCCUGCUAAGUCGAACGUGAAAUCCCCGAGCUCAACUCGGGAACUGCGUCCGAUACUGACAGGCUUGAAUCCGGGAGAGGGAUGCGGAAUUCCAGGUGUAGAGGUGAAAUGCGUAGAUAUCUGGAGGAACACCGGUGGCGAAGGCGGCAUCCUGGACCGGCAUUGACGCUGAGGCGCGAAAGCUAGGGGAGCAAACGGG